rnacentral:lncRNA from 1 species
UCUGACAACUAGGUGCCCAUUACAUGCAAACAUGUACUAGCACGUGUAAAAGUAUUUAUUUGCCAGCCAGACCAGAAAUUUCAGAAAUUGGUUUACCAGAGGUAAUUUUUCAACGGAAGGAAGACGUACAGCGCAAAAUGAAGACAUAUGCGUUACUUCUGGUGGUCUUUGUGGCCUUCCUUAUGGUCGCUGUAGAAGGUGCAGCGGUUGAAAGAUUGAUACCAAACAAUGAAGAAGGCGCGAUGUUUCGGAGGCCAUUGAAGCGUGUACGUAGAAACUGUUGCCAUAGACCCCCAUACUCGACAUGGUGUUGUCAUGCUGGGUAGAGAAGUGUUUCAUCCAGAUGUUUGUACAACCACGAGUUAUUUGGAUGCAUCUAGGUGUAAAUUUUAAAGAGGAACAAUAUGGUUAAUCAAACUGCUGAACUUUGCAAAGCGUAAUUUUUCAUUAUUACACAGAUAUUCCUGGGAACAAGCUUAAAAGUUAAAUUUAUUGUAUUCUGUCAUAGAUUACAUCUUUUGGCUGGAUUUCACUUUACUACAAGGCUAUAGCGAUUUCAGAACAAGACCAAUAUCUUUGAAGUAGUUAGGAAACA